CCUGGUGGCCUUUGCGAGGAGCCCCCACCCGAUCCCAUUCCGAACUCGGCCGUUAAACUCCUCAGCGCCGAUGGUACUCUGGCUCAAGCCACGGGAGAGUAGGUCGCCGCCAGGCCU
rnacentral:rRNA from 1 species